rnacentral:rRNA from 1 species
AACGAACGCUGGCGGCAUGCCUAACACAUGCAAGUCGAACGAGAUCUUCGGGUCUAGUGGCGCACGGAUGCGUAACGCGUGGAAAUCUGCCCUUUGGUUCGGAAUAACAGUUGGAAACGACUGCUAAUACCGGAUGAUGACGAAAGUCCAAAGAUUUAUCGCCAGAGGAUGAGCCCGCGUAGGAUUAGCUAGUUGGUGUGGUAAAGGCGCACCAAGGCGACGAUCCUUAGCUGGUCUGAGAGGAUGAUCAGCCACACUGGGACUGAGACACGGCCCAGACUCCUACGGGAGGCAGCAGUGGGGAAUAUUGGACAAUGGGCGAAAGCCUGAUCCAGCAAUGCCGCGUGAGUGAUGAAGGCCUUAGGGUUGUAAAGCUCUUUUACCCGGGAUGAUAAUGACAGUACCGGGAGAAUAAGCUCCGGCUAACUCCGUGCCAGCAGCCGCCGUAA